CCUACGGGUGGCAGCAGUGAGGAAUAUUGGUCAAUGGCCGGAAGGCUGAACCAGCCAUGCCGCGUGAAGGUCAGUGCCCUAUGGGCGUUAAACUUCUUUUGUUCGGGAGCAAUAAUGGUCACGUGUGGCCAUACGAGAGUACCGUACGAAUAAGCAUCGGCUAACUCCGUGCCAGCAGCCGCGGUUAUACGGGGGAUGCAAGCGUUAUCCGGAUUUAUUGGGUUUAAAGGGUGCGUAGGCGGAAUAUCAAGUCAGCGGUAAAAAUUCGGGGCUAAACCCCGUCGUGCCGGUGAAACUGAUGUUCUUGAGUGGGCGAGAAGUAUGUGGAAUGCGUGGUGUAGCGGUGAAAUGCAUAGAUAUCACGCAGAACGCCGAUUGCGAAGGCAGCAUACCGGCGCCCAACUGACGCUGAAGCACGAAAGCGUGGGUAUCGAACAGGAUUAGAUACCCCUGUAGUC
rnacentral:rRNA from 1 species